UACGGAGGAUCCGAGCGUUAUCCGGAUUUAUUGGGUUUAAAGGGUGCUCAGGCGGGCCAUUAAGUCGGCGGUGAAAUUUUGCGGCUCAACCGUAAAAGUGCCUUCGAUACUGGUGGUCUUGAGUGUGGAUGAGGUAGGCGGAAUUUGUGGUGUAGCGGUGAAAUGCAUAGAUAUCACGAGGAACUCCGAUUGCGCAGGCAGCUUACUAAACUACUACUGACGCUCAGGCACGAAGGCGUGGGGAUCAAACAGGAUUAGAUACCCCGGUAGUCCCU
rnacentral:rRNA from 1 species